rnacentral:rRNA from 1 species
GAUGAACGCUAGCUACAGGCUUAACACAUGCCAGUCGAGGGGAAACGACAUCGAAAGCUUGCUUUUGAUGGGCGUCGACCGGCGCACGGGUGAGUAACGCGUAUCCAACCUGCCCACCACUUGGGGAUAACCUUGCGAAAGUAAGACUAAUACCCAAUGACGUCUCUAGAAGACAUCUGAAAGAGAUUAAAGAUUUAUCGGUGAUGGAUGGGGAUGCGUCUGAUUAGCUUGUUGGCGGGGUAACGGCCCACCAAGGCGACGAUCAGUAGGGGUUCUGAGAGGAAGGUCCCCCACAUUGGAACUGAGACACGGUCCAAACUCCUACGGGAGGCAGCAGUGAGGAAUAUUGGUCAAUGGACGAGAGUCUGAACCAGCCAAGUAGCGUGCAGGAUGACGGCCCUAUGGGUUGUAAACUGCUUUUAUAAGGGAAUAAAGUGAGUCUCGUGAGACUUUUUGCAUGUACCUUAUGAAUAAGGACCGGCUAAUUCCGUG